rnacentral:rRNA from 1 species
GAGCUUGCUCCCGGAUGUUAGCGGCGGACGGGUGAGUAACACGUGGGUAACCUGCCUGUAAGACUGGGAUAACUCCGGGAAACCGGAGCUAAUACCGGAUAGUUCCUUGAACCGCAUGGUUCAAGGAUGAAAGACGGUUUCGGCUGUCACUUACAGAUGGACCCGCGGCGCAUUAGCUAGUUGGUGGGGUAAUGGCUCACCAAGGCGACGAUGCGUAGCCGACCUGAGAGGGUGAUCGGCCACACUGGGACUGAGACACGGCCCAGACUCCUACGGGAGGCAGCAGUAGGGAAUCUUCCGCAAUGGGCGAAAGCCUGACGGAGCAACGCCGCGUGAGUGAUGAAGGUCUUCGGAUCGUAAAACUCUGUUAUUAGGGAAGAACAAGUGUGUAAGUAACUAUGCACGUCUUGACGGUACCUAAUCAGAAAGCCACGGCUAACUACGUGCCAGCAGCCGCGGUAAUACGUAGGUGGCAAGCGUUAUCCGGAAUUAUUGGGCGUAAAGCGCGCGUAGGCGGUUUUUUAAGUCUGAUGUGAAAGCCCACGGCUCAACCGUGGAGGGUCAUUGGAAACUGGAAAACUUGAGUGCAGAAGAGGAAAGUGGAAUUCCAUGUGUAGCGGUGAAAUGCGCAGAGAUAUGGAGGAACACCAGUGGCGAAGGCGACUUUCGUGGUCUGUAACUGACGCUGAUGUGCGAAAG